GACGAACCGUCCAAUCGUUAUUCGGAAUUACUGGGCUUAAAGGGUGCGUAGGCGGCGCGGAAAGUUGGGUGUGAAAUCCCUCGGCUCAACCGAGGAACUGCGCACAAUACUACCGUGCUUGAGGGAGAUAGAGGUGAGCGGAACUUAGGGUGGAGCGGUGAAAUGCGUUGAUAUCCUAAGGAACACCGGUGGCGAAAGCGGCUCACUGGAUCUCUUCUGACGCUGAGGCGCGAAAGCGAGGGUAGCGAACGGG
rnacentral:rRNA from 1 species